CAGGGAGUCCGUCGGAAGAAGUUCGUCGGAAAGCUCGUCGGAACAAGACUCGACGUUCGCGGUUAAAAAACUUGCUUAGGAUGUUUUUUUUGUGUUAUGUAGUUUACCUGUAAUUAGGAUUAGGAUUAAGAGAUAAUCCUAUAUCCUGGUUAGGGGCCAACUGGGCCCAAAGUCAGAUUUGGUUUGGGCUAAAAUUAAGCCAAACAAAUGAAUUGGAGAGCCAGGCGGUGGCACCGCCUGGCUGGGCGGUGACACCUCCUUGGCUAGGCGAUUGCACCGUCCAGCACCCGAGCGCUGGGCGGUGGCACCUCCAGCACCAGGAACCCUAAGAGAAUUCAAAUUUUGGAGCCCAAAAUUUGAAUCCUCUUGAGGCCUAUAAAUACCCC
rnacentral:lncRNA from 1 species